rnacentral:rRNA from 1 species
GAUGAACGCUGGCGGCGUGCCUAAUACAUGCAAGUCGAGCGAACAGAUGAGGAGCUUGCUCCUCUGACGUUAGCGGCGGACGGGUGAGUAACACGUGGAUAACCUACCUAUAAGACUGGGAUAACUUCGGGAAACCGGAGCUAAUACCGGAUAAUAUAUUGAACCGCAUGGUUCAAUAGUGAAAGACGGUUUUGCUGUCACUUAUAGAUGGAUCCGCGCCGCAUUAGCUAGUUGGUAAGGUAACGGCUUACCAAGGCAACGAUGCGUAGCCGACCUGAGAGGGUGAUCGGCCACACUGGAACUGAGACACGGUCCAGACUCCUACGGGAAGCAGCAGUAGGGAAUCUUCCGCAAUGGGCGAAAGCUUGACGGAGCAACGCCGCGUGAGUGAUGAAGGUCUUCGGAUCGUAAAACUCUGUUAUUAGGGAAGAACAAAUGUGUAAGUAACUAUGCACGUCUUGACGGUACCUAAUCAGAAAGCCACGGCUAACUACGUG